rnacentral:tRNA from 1 species
CGGAGCGUAGUAUAGUGGUAGUACACAGGAUUCGGGUUCCUGAAGUUUGAGUUCGAUUCUCAGCGCUCCGA